rnacentral:rRNA from 1 species
UGAAUACGAGAUGCUACGGCGUCGAAGCAGUCUAUGUCAUACUUCCAAGAAAAGCUCGCACUGUCAUAAACAAAUAAUGCCUGUACCAUAACCGACACAGGUGGGUAGGUAGAGUAUACCAAGGGGCGCGAGAUAACUCUCUCUAAGGAACUCGGCAAAAUGACUCCGUAACUUCGGGAGAAGGAGUGCCUUAUUUAUAAGGUUGCAAUAACAAGAUCCAAGCAACUGUUUAUCAAAAACACAGGUCUCCGCUAAGUCGUAAGACGAUGUAUGGGGGCUGACGCCUGCCCAGUGCCAGAAGGUUAAAGAAGUUGGUUAGCAUUCGCGAAGCUGAUAACUGAAGCCCUGGUGAACGGCGGCCGUAACGAUAACGGUCCUAAGGUAGCGAAAUUCCUUGUCGGGUAAGUUCCGACCCGCACGAAAGGCGUAAUGAUUUGGAUACUGUCUCGGAGAGGGGCUCGGUGAAAUAGACUUGUCUGUGAAGAUGCGGACUACCUGCGCCAGGACAGAAAGACCCUAUGAAGCUUUACUGUAACUUGAGAUUGAAAUUGGACUUUACUUGCGCAGUAUAGGUGGGAGGCGUUGAUAAUAUUCUUGCGGGAUUAUUUGAGCCAUCGGUGAGAUACCACUCUUGUAAUGUUAGAUUUCUAACUUUGUAUCAUUAUCUGGUCAAAGGACAGUUUCAGGCGGGCAGUUUGACUGGGGCGGUCGCCUCCUAAACGGUAACGGAGGCGCACAAAGGUUUCCUCUGAACGGGUAGAAAUCGUAUCUAGAGUGUAAAGGCAUAAGGAAGCUUGACUGUGAGACCUACAAGUCGAGCAGGGACGAAAGUCGGUCUUAGUGAUCUGACGGUGCUGAGUGGAAAGGCCGUCACUCAACGGAUAAAAGUUACUCUAAGGAUAACAGGCUGAUCUCCCCCAAGAGUUCACAUCGACGGGGAGGUUUGGCACCUCGAUGUCGGCUCAUCGCAUCCUGGGGCGGUAGUACGUCCCAAGGGUUGGGCUGUUCGCCCAUGAAAGCGGUACGCGAGCUGGGUUCAGAACGUCGUGAGACAGUUCGGUCCAUAUCCGGUGUAGGCGUUAGAAUAUUGAGAGGAGCCUUCUUUAGUACGAGAGGACCGAGAAGGACAUACCUCUGGUGUACCAGUUAUCGUGCCAACGGUAAACGCUGGGUAGCUAUGUAUGGAGUGGAUAACCGCUGAAAGCAUCUAAGUGGGAAGCCCACCUCAAGAUAAGUAUUC